GGCCUUGUGGCGCAACGGUAGCGCGUUCGACUCCAGUUCAUAGGCGAUCGAAAGGUUAUCCGUUCAAAUCGGGUCAGGGUCA